CAAUACAUGGCCCCCUAUUCCCCCUAUUCCCUAUGUAGUACACUACAUGGCCCCCUAUUCCCUAUGUAGUGGACUAUCAAGCCCUGGUCAAAACAAGUAAACUAUAUGGAGAAUAGGUUGCCAUUGGGAUGCCCCCUCCUCACAGUCAUAUCAUUGGGAUGUGUUGAAAGUACUGUAAAGACCCAUACCAGACUGGUGUUGAAGGUACUGUAAAGACCCAUACCAGACUGGUGUUGAAGGUACUGUAAAGACCCAAACCAGACUGGUGUUGAAGGGUAGUAAGGACCCAUACCAGACUGGUGUUGAAGGUACUGUAAAGACCCAUACCAGACUGGUGUUGAAGGAACUGUAAGGACCCAUACCAGACUGGUGUUGAAGGUACUGUAAAGACCCAUACCAGACUGGUGUUGAAGGUUCUAUAAAGACCCAUACCAGACUGGUGUUGAAGGGUAUUGGAAGGUACUAUAAAGACCCAUACCAGACUGUUGUUGAAGGGUAUAGGAAAGUUUUAUAAAGACCCACACCAGACUGGUGUUGAAGGUACUAUAAAGACCCAUACCAGACUGGUGUUGAAGGGUAUUGGAAGGUACUAUAAAGACCCAUACCAGACUGGUGUUGAAGGGUACAGGAAGGUUCUAUAAAGACCCAUAUCAGACUGGUGUUGAAGGGUACAGGAAGGUUCUAUAAAGACCCAUACCAGACUGUUUUUGAAGGGUACAGGAAGGUUCUAUAAAGACCCAUAUCAGACUGGUGUUGAAGGUACUAUAAAGACCCAUACCAGACUGGUGUUGAAGGUACUAUAAAGACCCAUACCAGACUGGUGUUGAAGGGUACAGGAAGGUUCUAUAAAGACCCACACCAGACUGGUGUUGAAGGGUACAGGAAGGUUCUAUAAAGACCCAUACCAGACUGUUUUUGAAGGGUACAGGAAGGUUCUAUAAAGACCCAUAUCAGACUGGUGUUGAAGGGUACAGGAAGGUUCUAUAAAGACCCAUACCAGACUGUUUUUGAAGGGUACAGGAAGGUUCUAUAAAGACCCAUACCAGACUGUUUUUGAAGGGUACAGGAAGGUUCUAUAAAGACCCAUAUCAGACUGUUUUUGAAGGGUACAGGAAGGUUCUAUAAAGACCCAUACCAGACUGUUUUUGAAGGGUACAGGAAGGUUCUAUAAAGACCCAUACCAGACUGUUUUUGAAGGGUACAGGAAGGUUCUAUAAAGACCCAUACCAGACUGGUGUUGAAGGUACUAUAAAGGCCCAUAUCAGACUGGAGUUGAAGGGUACAGGUAGGUUCUAUAAAGACCCACACCAGACUGGUGUUGAAGGGUGCAGGAAGGUUCUGUUAAAAGCAUGUAAUGAUACAGAUUCUUCACGAUGUGCUCCCCUUUAAAUUCAUGUUUCUCUUCUGUUUUUGUUCUCACUGUUCUUAAAUACUGUUUGAAACAAUGAAUCAUAAAUAAAAAAUAAAAAAAUUAAAUGAUGUCAAAGAUUCAAAACCCCAACUAGUAGAAAGGGUGUUUAGGUGAAUCUGCUAUUUUGGAUGUCAGAGGCCUCUUUCCUCUGUCGCGUUUCUCCUUUCUUAACUUCGGGCUGAUGACGGAGCCUGAUUGAGUUUGUCACUCACCUGUGUGCACUUUGCUGAGUCCUCCUUGUGAAUGUGGGGAUGUCGACUUGACCAUGAUUGUCCUUUUUAUCUGUUAACUACGUUACCCAUGAUGCACCACAGCCUGUUUCAAAACAUAUAAGGAAUAUUUUAGCCUGUUGAAUUUCACGGUCUUGGAAAUAUUAUAUUGUGCUAUUGGGAUGUGCUAAUAAAGAGAUAUUUUUUAUACAACA